CCAUGGCAAAAGUAAGCAAAGCAUGCUAAGUGUUCUGUUGUUGGCUGCACAGAGCAGCACAGAACACUGUUCCCAGCCUGACAGAAGAGCAAUGGAUUUAUUUUGUUUUCAAUGGAAAUCCACCAGACUGAACGAGGCAAAGCUGCAAAUAAAGACAUUGAUAUCUUUGGCAGAGCAGUGGCGCGCUGGCAACUCCACCGAGCAGCAAGUUUAUCGAGUCGGGACUGGAAAUAAUCAAAAAUAAGAAGGUGUGGACUGAAACCACUGGAGCACGAGACAGGGGUGGAAAAAGAGCCCUUAACGCAGUCUGGCACAAAACAUCAGACUGUCAGCAGUUUAAGCGUUUAAAAUAUUUUUUGUUCAGUUGGGUUUAAAGUACCCUUUCUAAUCUGAAAUCUAUCAAACUAUUUUUAAUGAAUUUAACAUUUAAGACUGUUUUUAAGGUUCAGUUAAAUAUUCUGUGUUAAGGAUCAGAAAAUUAUAAUAAAUUUGAUAUUGAAAAUCCAUGUGUUUUUCAUUUUCAGAAUGCACCUAUUAUGUUUAUGAUGUA